GACAGAGGGUGCAAACGUUGUUCGGAAUUACUGGGCGUAAAGCGCGUGUAGGCGGCUCGGCAAGUCGGGUGUGAAAGCCCUGGGCUUAACCUAGGAAGUGCACUCGAAACUGCCAAGCUUGAGUUCUGGAGAGGAAGGCGGAAUUCUCGGUGUAGAGGUGAAAUUCGUAGAUAUCGAGAGGAACACCGGUGGCGAAGGCGGCCUUCUGGACAAAAACUGGACGCUGAGACGCGAAAGCGUGGGGAGCAAA
rnacentral:rRNA from 1 species